rnacentral:misc_RNA from 1 species
GAUGAAGAACGCAGCGAAAUGCGAUAAGUAAUGUGAAUUGCAGAAUUCAGUGAAUCAUCGAAUCUUUGAACGCACCUUGCGCCCUUUGGCCAUUCCGAAGGGCAUGCCUGUUUGAGUAUCAUGAACACCUCAACUCUUUAUGGUUUUCCAUGAUGAGCUUGGACUUUGGGGGUUUUGCUGGCCUAUGGUCGGCUCCUCUAAAAUAAAUCAGCUUACCGGUGUUUGGUGGGUAUCAUGGGUGUGAUAACUAUCUACGCUUGUGGUUUUUCCACCAGGUAACCUUCGACAGCGGAGGUUCACUGGAGCUCAUAGAUGUCUCUCCUCAGCGAGGACAGCCCUUUGAAUGUUUGAUCUCAAAUCAGGUAGGACUACCCGCUGAACUUAAGCAUACAAUAAGCGGAGGA